CCCUACACCCCGUCCACUCGCCAACCUAUUGGAGCAGCCUGCGUUGUCCAGCCAUGCCUGCUGGAUUCCAGUGGGGCUCUUAAAUCUUCCCACGGCAGCUGUUCUGGCCACUGAGAUUGGCUCAGCUUUUCCCCACCCCGGGAACAGCUGAUUAAGGCGUAAUGCUGACUCACACGGGCGCAGCCGCGGCCACAGCCGCAGCUCUGGCUGUGCUCCCAGAGGAAUAACACCCCAGACAAAUUCAGUGAGGAAACUGCAAAGCAUUGGCAAGAGAAAAAGUGCAAUCCAC